rnacentral:pre_miRNA from 12 species
AAGAAAUGGUUUACCGUCCCACAUACAUUUUGAGUAUGUAUGUGGGACGGUAAACCGCUUCUU